ensembl:lncRNA TEX41 testis expressed 41
GGCCUCCAUCUUGAAAACGGAAAAUAAAAACAGCAGACCUAUGAAGGUCGAAGGGGAAGAAAAGCUGUAUCGAUUGUUGAGAUCUGGCGACUUGUUUAAAUUUCAUCAGCCUCACUUCUAUGAACUCUCAGAGCUGAUUACCAACUCCUACCACUGUUAACCCUCAUCCAGGAACAAGCUUAUGUCUUUAACAUUCUGAGUGGGCUUCAGCAUCCUUGCAUAUGUUCAAUUCUUAAAAACCUGUUGAAAUAAAAGAUCAGGAGACAUAGGAAGGAUGCCAGAAGAGAGCGUGGCCUCACGUGUACCAGCUCUCUGCUCUCCUUUGCCUUGGGACGUUCCAUCCCUGGAAGUUUCCCUGCCCACAUCUUUGUAGAGAGUCCAUUCUCCAAGCUUCAGUGUGUCAUCUGUGAGGACCGUGACCCACCUGGUACAUCGCCUCAGGGCAUUCAUUUCAGGCUCCUUCUAAAUGGCCAAGUUUUCAAGAUUGUUUUGGCUCUAGCAAAACAAGUUGGAACAUUCACAUCAUCCAAGCUGCAGCAAGCUGUUCGUCAGAGUCAUCUUUGGUGACUAUCUGCCUACAGGCAUUCCUUUGCACUCUGGGUGUAGCCCUCAGUGCUGGGCUUACAAAGAAGACGACACAAAAGCAACCAUGAAAAGACCACUGAAGCACAACCACACUUUGGAGCCAGAAGAGGAGCUGAAAUGUCAAUUGGAGAGGACUUUCCUGCUCUAAAAGGUGAGGAAGACAGCACAAGUAACUUGCCAAAGAUAAGUGGCUAAUAAGUGGCAGAGCGAGGGUUUAAAGCAGGCAUGAAGGUGCUGCAGCCCAUGCACUUAGCCCCAACAUCAUGCUGCUCUCUGACUCACCAGCUAACCAAGUAAAUAAACGACAGUGAUGAGGUAAAUAAACAGGAUGAGGUAAAUAAAGAGGCUUACACAGUGCUCUAAAAGGAUGCUUUGAAGGAAGGGAAGAUCCCAACGAACCAGCCAUGAGAAGAACCCUUUACAGAGGGAAUAACAAGUGGCAAAGCUUCCCAAGUGAGGGUGGGGAAGAACCUGAUGGGUUUUGGAACUCAAAGUUUCUUCCUCUAACGUUCACCAAUUUAAUCUUUCCCUACAUAGAGUAAAUUGAGUUCCCCUGCUAUUAACAUUUGUUUUGUGGAUAAGUUAGUCUUUUUCUUUUUAAGAGUAUUAUUUAAACCAUUGAUCACUAAUUUCAUAAGCAAACCUUUGCCUUUUAAUAAAGCCUUUUGUAAAGAC